AUACGGAGGGUGCAAGCGUUGUUCGGAAUUACUGGGCGUAAAGCGCGCGUAGGCGGUCUGUUAUGUCAGAUGUGAAAGUCCAUGGCUCAACCAUGGAAGUGCAUUUGAAACUGGCAGACUUGAGUACUGGAGGGGGUGGUGGAAUUCCCGGUGUAGAGGUGAAAUUCGUAGAUAUCGGGAGGAAUACCGGUGGCGAAGGCGACCACCUGGCCAGAUACUGACGCUGAGGUGCGAAAGCGUGGGGAGCAAACAGGAUUAGAUACCCCAGUAGUCC
rnacentral:rRNA from 1 species